rnacentral:rRNA from 1 species
GAGUGAAGAAGGCCUUCGGGUUGUAAAGCUCUUUCAGUUGAGAAGAAAAAGUCGUGACUAAUAAUCAUGAUUCAUGACGGUAUCAACAGAAGAAGCACCGGCUAACUACGUGCCAGCAGCCGCGGUAAUACGUAGGUGCAAGCGUUAAUCGGAAUUACUGGGCGUAAAGGGUGCGCAGGCGGUUCUGUAAGUCAGAUGUGAAAUCCCCGGGCUUAACCUGGGAACUGCGUUUGAAACUGCAGGGCUAGAGUGCGGCAGAGGGAGGUGGAAUUCCAUGUGUAGCAGUGAAAUGCGUAGAGAUAUGGAAGAACAUCGAUGGCGAAGGCAAACCUCCUGGGCUAGCACUGACGCUCAUGCACGAAAGCGUGGGGAGCAAACAGGAUUAGAUACCCUGGUAGUCCACGCCCUAAACUAUGUCAACUAGUUGUCGGGUCUUAUUAGACUUGGUAACGUAGCUAACGCGUGAAGUUGACCGCCUGGGGAGUACGGUCGCAAGAUUAAAACUCAAAGGAAUUGACGGGGG